rnacentral:rRNA from 1 species
GUGCCAGCAGCCGCGGUAAUACGUAGGGUGCGAGCGUUGUCCGGAAUUACUGGGCGUAAAGGGCUCGUAGGUGGUUUGUCGCGUCGUCUGUGAAAUUCCGGGACUUAACUCCGGGCGUGCAGGCGAUACGGGCAUAACUUGAGUACUGUAGGGGUAACUGGAAUUCCUGGUGUAGCGGAGAAAUGCCCAAAUAUCAGGAGAGAACCCGAUGGCAAAGGCAGGUUACUGGGCAGUUACUGACGCUGAGGAGCGAAAGCAUGGGUAGCGAACAGGAUUAGAUACCCUGGUACUCC